AACGCGAAAAUCCCGCAAGGGAUUAGUAGAGUGGCAAACGGGUGAGUAACGCGUGGGUGACCUGCCUUCGAGCGGGGGAUAACGUUCCGAAAGGGACGCUAAUACCGCAUAACAUCCUGCCUUUGAAGAGGUGGAGAUCAAAGCUGGGGAUCGCAAGACCUAGCACUUGAAGAGGGGCCCGCGUCUGAUUAGCUAGUUGGUGAGGUAACGGCUCACCAAGGCUUCGAUCAGUAUCCGGCCUGAGAGGGCGGACGGACACACUGGGACUGAGACACGGCCCAGACUCCUACGGGAGGCAGCAGUGGGGAAUUGUUCGCAAUGGGCGCAAGCCUGACGACGCAACGCCGCGUGGAGGAUGAAGAUUUUCGGAUCGUAAACUCCUGUCGAACGGGACGAAUAGAUCAUGGGUUAACAGCCCGUAGUCCUGACGGUACCGUUAAAGGAAACCCCGGCUAACUCCGUGCCAGCAGCCGCGGUAAUACGGGGGGGGUAAGCGUUGUCCGGAAUUACUGGGCGUAAAGGGCUCGUAGGCGGCCAACUAAGUCGGACGUGAAAUCCCUCAGCUUAACUGGGGAACUGCGUCCGAUACUGGAUGGCUUGGAUUCGGGAGAGGAAUGCGGAAUUCCAGGUGUAGCGGUGAAAUGCGUAGAUAUCUGGAGGAACACCGGUGGCGAAGGCGGCAUUCUGGACCGACAUUGACGCU
rnacentral:rRNA from 1 species